rnacentral:misc_RNA from 1 species
AAGGAGCAUGUCUCGUGCCGGUACCGCUCACACUGGUGGGUGGGAAUGCACGCAGAGACCACGCCGGCCCCGUACGCGGGUCGGGUGGGAGCUCAUGGGUGGAACACUGACAACCAGAACCGGCAAUGAUCGGUGCCUCCUGUGUGGGGUGCCGGGUGGGUUCUAUAUCGAUGCACUGUUGGGUCCUGAGAGAACACGCGAGUGUUACCUCUCUGGCAAGAAACGUAUGCAGGCAAUGCUGGUUGUGUCUAUCGGCUUCUCGUUGUGGGGAGUGUCUGAGGCCGGCGUGGACAGUGUUGUGUGUGUGUUGUUUGAGAACUGCACAGUGGACGCGAGCAUCUUUGUU